UACGGAGGGUGCAAGCGUUAUCCGGAUUCACUGGGUUUAAAGGGUGCGUAGGUGGGUCUGUAAGUCAGUGGUGAAAUCCCCGAGCUUAACUUGGGAACUGCCGUUGAUACUAUAGAUCUUGAAUAUCGUGGAGGUAAGCGGAAUAUGUCAUGUAGCGGUGAAAUGCUUAGAUAUGACAUAGAACACCAAUUGCGAAGGCAGUUUACUACACGAUCAUUGACACUGAGGCACGAAAGCGUGGGGAGCAAACAGG
rnacentral:rRNA from 1 species